rnacentral:tRNA from 1 species
GCAUUAAUGGGGUAGUGGUAACCUGGGUCGUUGCCAUUUCAUAACUUCGACCCGCCGGGGGUUCGAUUCCCCCUUAAUGCA